GUAGAUGUUACCUGUGUACAUGCAGGGCUAAGCUAGCUAGCGUUAGUUAGAUGAUACUAGGUAUAGAUAGAUGUUACCUGUGUACAUGCAGGGCUAAGCUAGCUAGCGUUAGUUAGAUGAUACUAGGUAUAGUUAGAUGAUACUAGGUAUAGGUAGAUGUUACCUGUGUACAUGCAGGGCUAAGCUAGCUAGCGUUAGUUAGAUGAUACUAGGUAUAGAUAGAUGUUACCUGUGUACAUGCAGGGCUAAGCUAGCUAGCGUUAGUUAGAUGAUACUAGGUAUAGGUAGAUGUUACCUGUGUACAUGCAGGGCUAAGCUAGCUAGCGUUAGUUAGAUGAUACUAGGUAUAGGUAGAUGUUACCUGUGUACAUGCAGGGCUAAGCUAGCUAGCGUUAGUUAGAUGAUACUAGGUAUAGGUAGAUGUUACCUGUGUACAUGCAGGGCUAAGCUAGCUAGCGUUAGUUAGUUAGAUGAUACUAGGUAUAGUUAGAUGAUACUAGGUAUAGGUAGAUGUUACCUGUGUACAUGCAGGGCUAAGCUAGCUAGCGUUAGUUAGAUGAUACUAGGUAUAGGUAGAUGUUACCUGUGUACAUGCAGGGCUAAGCUAACUAGCGUUAGUUAGAUGAUACUAGGUAUAGGUAGAUGUUACCCGUGUACAUGCAGGGCUAAGCUAA